GUAGAGGGUUAACAACACGCUCAACUCUGCAACGCAGGGUUGGGCUAAAUCAUUUUCGUCUCUCCUUGGCUCUAAGCAUGACCUGUUGUUGACACAGUUUUUCUUACAAUAGCCAAAUACUUUCAGAUUACAUGAGCUAUUGCAGCACCACCUCAAAGUGCCAAGCUGUCUUCCUGGUUGUGAAUGAAGCACAAAGCAGCACAUUCAUCUUCACGGGACUGUGUCAUUAUGAUUGGCCCAGCCAUUUGAGCGAUCCGUCCGGUCCAGCGCCAGUGAUUCAGCGGGCUGGAAGCCACCGCGGCAGUCAUCGCUGCCUCCGCCUCCACCCCUCUUCCACGCAAACAGCUGCUCCUCUGUAACGCUGCGGAAAGCCCCUAGUCUAAAAGGCAAGUCUAGACCACAUCAGCAGAAGUGGUGCAUAUUUCCUAAUCAUCUUAAGAUAAAUAAGAAGCAGUUAUGGCUGACUCAUAUUUGACACACUCGCUUUCUGCUCCUUUUUUCUCUCUCUCUCUAUUUUUUUACUUUCACUCUAUAAGUCUGUGCAUGCCACGGUCUGAUUUCUGACGGGUGAUUCGGUGUGCGUUGGAUGAUGACUGUUUCACAUGUAGCCUGCGUGGGCGAGAGAAAGUUGCCGCAAAAGAAUUCCACAGCGACUUCCAAGGAGGGGUGAGGCAACACUCUCUCAAGGCUA